rnacentral:rRNA from 1 species
UACAGGGGGUGCUAGCGUUGUUCGGAAUUACUGGGCGUAAAGGGCGCGUAGGCGGCCAUGUAAGUCAGAUGUGAAAUCCCGGGGCUUAACUCCGGACGUGCAUUUGAAACUGCAAGGCUCGAGUGCAGUAGAGGUUGGUGGAAUUCCCAGUGUAGAGGUGAAAUUCGUAGAUAUUGGGAGGAACACCGGUGGCGAAGGCGGCCAACUGGGCUGCAACUGACGCUGAGGCGCGAAAGCGUGGGGAUCAAACAGG